AAAAUUCAAAAUACAACAUAUAAAAAAAUCUAAAAUUUUAAUAUAUGAUUAAUAUAAUUGUGUAAUUUAUUUUAAUAGUAAAUAAUUAAACAAAAAUAAUAGAAAGCAUACAAAUUAUUAGCAAAUCUUCAUUAUUUAAAAUCAUUAAUUACUAUAUAUAUCAUAAUCACAUUAGGUAAUUUCGUAGGUUUUAUUUAAGGAAAUAAUAUAUAAUAAAUAGCCACCUUGCUUUAGUUAAUAUCAUAUGAUAUCAUAUAGUUGGUAUUAAAUGUUUCUAGUGAGAUAUAAAAAUCGAAUUGGACCAACAUAUUUUUCAAUUUCAAUGUGAGGCUGACACGUAAGACUAAUUAACUACCUAAUUGAUUGACACAUAAGCAAAUGGUCUUUUUUAAGUAUUACAAAAUUGAAGUUAUAUCUUUUCAAAUGUUCCUCAAUUAAUAUAUGGGGAUUUAGAAAAAAAGGUAUUAAUGUGAAGAAACGGUGCUUAAAGAGGGGGUAGAAGAACCGGGUUUUGUGGAACACGUGUUCGCUCUUGGUUACACCUCUCUCUCUCUCUCUAAAAAAGCACUUGGCGUCUCUCUCUCCUUCUCGUGUAUGAAACUGCGUCUCUUCACCUCUCCUCGUCGAAUACGCCGGUGAUUAUUGAUUUCUCACUGAUCGGAUGAAGCCGUCGGCCUUUGUCUCUGUGGAAACCUCGUAUCUGUUGGUGGACUCGUCGAUUGUGUCCUAUUUGAUCUACGAUGACGCGUCUCUCUAGCUCUCCUCCACCACUCCGCCUCUCUUUCGUAAUCUCUCCUUGGGGAAGAAUCACGGCGUCUCUUUUGGUGGCUCGACGGCGCUCCUCGACGGUGGAAAACCUCUAUUUCUCUCUCGACGGCUGAACUCGACGAAGCGAAAGAUCAAGAGGAUAUCAAUGUUCGUCUGACGGAUCAAGAGACAGGAAGGUUCGUCUAAGAUGGUUCGGAUCAAGAUUGUUCGGAGGAAGAGACAUCAACAUUCGACUACAAUGGCAAUAAAGGUAACACGCAUAUCUUUGUCUCUGAACUGAAUUGAUUUCGUCUGUGUGUCUGAAUUGAAUUGGAAUGGUUGUGCUUUUGGUUUGACUUGAACGAAAUUGAUUGUGCUUUUGGUUUGUGUGUCUGAACUGGAUUGAUUAUCGUUUUGGUUUGAAUUGAACCGCGUUGAUGGUGCUUUUGAUUUGUGUAUCUGAACUGAAUUGAUUGUGCUUUGUGUUUGAAUUGAACAGUGUCUCAUGUGCUUUUGGUUUGUGUGUCUGAACUGAAUUGAUUGUGAUUUUGGUUUGAAUUGAAACGUUGGUAAUUAAUGUUGUGGUUAGAGAUAGAGUUAACUCUGUUUUUGGUAUUAAAGAGAUGUAAGAGGUUAGAUAGAAAUCAAAGUUGAUGUGUGAUUAAUGUGUUAGAAAACUGUCUUCUCGAAAUGGUUGGGGUGUUGAUCAAUGGUGAUCAAUGCUUCUUUCCUUCUUCUCUUCUAUAAAAAAAAUAUCCUUGUUCUCUUCCAUCUAUCAAACAUAUUUAUUUUCUUUCUCUCUUUUCUUUCUCUCUUGAGCCAUUCGGAUAAGGAUUCAAAUUCAUAUACACCGUUAGCAAACUUUGUUGACAUUCUGAAUAGUCAGCAAGACACUGUCUUUGGUUAUGUCCAAGACAAUGUCGAAGUUUCUUCCUCCCAAGUCCCUCUCUUUAGCAGUCAAGCAACAGAAGAAGAGACUCCUGCAGAGCGUAAGGAAAGGAGGGCAUGGACGCCAAUAGAUGAUGUUGCCCUCAUUAGCGCUUGGUUAAACACAAGCAAAGACCCGAUUGUAGCUAACGAGCAAAGAGCUGGUGCGUUCUGGAAAAGGAUUGCUGCAUACUUUGCAGCAAGUCCCAAGGUUGCAGGUUCUAAAGUGAGAGAGUCAUCUCAUUGUAAGCAAAUGUGGCAGAAGAUAAACGACCAAGUCAACAAAUUUUGUGGGACAAGCUUUGUCAAGUUGUAGUGUUGUGUCAAGUAGUGUGUAGUGUGAUGUGUCAAGUAGUAUGUAUUGUAUCAAGUAGUGUGUUCUGUAUUUUGUCAAUUUGUAUGUAUUGUGUCAACUGUCAAGUAAUGUGUUAUGUAUUAUAUAAAAAAACUUCUCAUACUUCUCA